ACUGUAUAUAAUUAUUUGGGCUACACUUUUAUAUGACUGGCAAAGCAGUAGGUUUGUUGACAACAGCAUCACAACAAACAUGUGAGCAAUACAUUGUGCUGUGCUAAGAUGACUAUGAUGUCAUUAGGCAAUAGGAAUUUUUCAGCUCCUUUUUAAUCUUAUGGAGUCACCGUGGUAUAUGUGGUCCCUCAUUGAUCAAAAUGUCAUUUUGUAGUGCAUGACUGCAACUUACAUAAAAUGUUCCAACUCCUAAGAACUUUGGCAUGUGUUUUAGAAAAGAAUGUUGGCAGGCUUCCAGUUUAUUAAAACAACAAUCCAAUGCUGAUCUUCUCCCUGUAUACACGAUUGAAGGAUGGAUCAUUUACUCGAACAAAGCUGUUCACUGAGGCAGGUGGAUGUGCUUAUCUAUUCUACUGGAAGACCUACAAUCUGAUGGCAUACAGCUCAACAACAAAAUGGAAAACAACCUAAUUUUAAAAGUGGACAAAGGAGA